UUCAGAAUGCAGUUUAUUGCGGUACACUUUAAGUUUAAUUAAUUUCAGAACUAUUGGCCAAAAUCGUAUAAUAUUACCAGUUAUGAAAUUUUGUUAUUAUGAUUCACAGUUUAUCGGACUGUGACUGCGCCAAUAUGUGCACCCCCCGGCCGCCAGGGGCCAAACAAAUUUCAGGGAAGCGGCUGACUUGAGGCAAUCCAAACUCAUCUACUGGAAGACCCCGCCGGACACUAGGGGCAUACAUGCCUUCUUCGUAUCCUUGGAGUCCUGCUUUCAUCGCGUCCAGAGUGCACUGGUUGUCUUUCAGCGUCUGUAGGGUGAAACUGACCCGUUCCUUAGCGUACUUUCGUUUCUGCUGCAGCACUCGCCGAGCCUUCUCCUUGAUGGCAUCCUAAAAAUCAGCAAAUGCUGCAUAACAGUAUAAUUAAUAAGAAAAGAAACAUAAUAAUCGGGGAAUUCAGACUCGGGAUCGUCAUCACAUUUCGAUACCUUCUGAUCAAUGCACUCCCCGCGACUCUCCACCUACAGUUGUAUUUAAGCCAUCAUCGAAAUUGGAAUAUCUCACCCAGGAACGCAGAAAACAGAUAUUCGCGUAUACAUUGUUAAUAAUCCAUCCUUACACUGGCAAUCACGUCCGCCAGAGUAGGCCGAGAGGCCUUUGGCUUUCCCGCUCCAAAUAAACAAUUCAUUUUCUUAAAAAUAGUUCGGUUCAAAUUGAUGGUAGGGUACUAAUUCUUACACUGGCAGUUACGCUAUCAACCAUGCAAGAGUGAAUAUACGAGUACUGUAUAGUAUAUACCGCGGAUUUCCAAGAUGUAUUCUUCUGGCCCAAUAAUAACUUGCACAGUGAAAAUCGAAAACCCCAAUUAAAAUACUAAGAAGAUAGGCGAAAAAUUGAAAUUGACGAAGAAAUGCUGAUUCGAGACUCCACUUGCGAGCUGCGACCACAGCAACAGUUGUCAGUCGCACAAGCAUCGCAUUAUAUACACGACAGUCGCUGCGGGGUGUCAGUUACCUUCACGACAACGUCAUCUGCCUGCUGGAGUGCUGGACAGUGGACACUGACCAGAGUGCGCUGACAAGCUGGCCGCCGUGCCCAAGUGAAGCUGCCUGGCGAAAAUUCUUCGAGUGGUCAGGUUUUUGAAUUUUUAGUUCAUGAAACCGGACCAACUGAAGAAUGUUCGCCAGGUAACUUCACUUCGGCACGGCCGGCAGCUUGCCGCGCACGCUGGUCAUUAUAAAAGGCUAAUAAAAGCAACACCAGUGAUGUGGACGUGGCCGUUGGACUAUGUGGUGGUGCAGGAUGACCACCGGGAAGAAGCCACGCCAAUUCAGGGAAUGUGAGAAAUCUGGGUGGACGGCCAAAGGUCAUAGGAAACUUAAGCGCGGAUGUGCGCAGCCGUUCUUUGAUCACUGCAGCCGAUCAGACCCGAUAAAGCGCUGGCGAAGCGAUCAACAGUGGAUGGCACUAGAGCCCUGCACCGGAUUGGUAAAUCCGAACCGCUCCGAAUCCACUCCGAUUUUCGUAUCGGAUUGGACGGAUUCCACUCUCCAAAAUUCGGACUCGGAGUGGUUUCGGAGUUUAUGUGCAUCUGACCGGAUCGGAUUCGGAUGCAAUCAAGACUCCGAAUUAUCCGUAAUAAAUAUUAUUAAUUAAUUUUUAUUGAAUUUCGCGCACCUUGCAAACAAAAAACUUCGACAGCGUCGCGCUUCGCGCGAGGCUUCAUUUGCGUUAACGUACACAAUGCCAAAGUAGUUCGUCAGCUUCGCGCGAGGCUUCAUUUGAGUUAACGUACUCAAUGCCAAAGUACAGUACUUCGUCAGCUUCGCACGAGGCUUCAUUUGCGUUAACAUACUGUGCCACAAUGCCAAAGUAUCUGUUUUUGUUUAGUUAAUUAACUGUUUUUAAUUCUCUUUCGCUUUCUCUUGCUAAUUCCCUUGACACUUUUUAAAAUUAGAGUGUUUUAUGAUUGCUGUGGUGGUAUUAGUCGUUAUGGUUUUACUAAAUACUUUUUGUAUGUUUACUUCAAAAUUACGCUCUCCGACAUUGGUUUCACGGCUCAGACAAUUUAACUGGGCACCGGCUUUUCAUUUCUUAAAGUUGUAGCACUAGUAAUUCGAUUAGUACCGGUGAUAACGAUAAUAAUAAUAUUAUAUUUAUAUGUUAAACUAACCCUAAAGAACAGGUUUGAAUACAUGAAACUACCGUUUUUUACAGUUGCGGACGAUUAGAAGUAUCCCUUCCUCGUUUUUACCUUGGCCUCUAUGUAGGUGAUCCGUGGGUAGAACCGUACACAAUAAA